UCUUCCGUUUCCAACGGAAGACCUUCUACUGAUUCUGAAGAUUAAGAUUAUUCUUAUUAGGGUCUUCCGCUUCCUUCGGAAGACCCUACUGUUAUUCUAUUGUUUCUUAUUAUUCUUUUUUUUUUCCCGCUCGACUUUUGACAGGCGAUUUCUCAAAGACCUUUGGACUGAUCGUUAUGAAACUUUCAGGAUAGAUAGUUUGUAGUUAAACCUAUUUAAACCUGUUUUCAGUUUUUUUAUGCAUGCCUUUAUUUGUGAGUUAUUGCCCUUUAAUUGAAAAUUUUUGAUGUCUCGUUUCCACUGAAAAUCUCAAAAAUGACAUAAGAUAUUUACACGAAAGUUGGAGAACUUGUAGCCAAUACAUUGUAGAUGUGCACAACGAUAAAAUUAUAUAGCUGAUUUCUUAAAGUUUGGAAGCUAUAAAACGGCAAAUUUUAGUAAUUUUUUUUCUUUGAAUUUUUGCUACUUUUUGUGUAAUAACUUUUAAACCGAGAAUAAUUUGGUAAGACAUAUAAUACAAAAGUUGUGGGUAAUUACGAGAGCUUUCAUAUUUGAUUAUGGAAAAGGGGCUGGCCCCUAUAAUUAGGGGCUAAUGGCUCAUACACGUUUUUUUUCUGAUAGCUAAAAAUAUUGGUAUAUUAUGAAAAAGUUUGACUGAAAUAAUUUCGAACUUAUAAAAUCUUGUCAUUUGAUAUAAAAAGAAAUAAACUUCCAGCUAUAUUUAAUUGUUUUUUUUAUAAAACAAGUACAUGUAUGUGAGAAACCUUUCAGGAACAAGUUGUCUACUAUAGCCAGCCAAGCCUUUACUGCAUACAUGUGCACAUUUUUAGUUGAUGCAUCUAAAAGAUAUAGUUUUGAUUCGGUGUUUCUUUGUUUUCUUUUUAUUCAAAUAAUUUUAAAAUGUGAUGAUGUACACAACAAUAAUUAGUACCUAGUUUAGAGGAUUUUUUCGCUCUUGUUUGUAAACAACGCGCGGCAUUGUGGGAAAUAGGAAGGUACUAAAGACGCGAUGUACUAAACACUGAUUUGACCUGAUUCAAAUUUGUCUGUAACUGUUCCAAACAAUUGAAUUUUUGUAUAGCAUAUGCCUCAAAGUCAUAAAGUCUGUACAUAAGUAAUUUAAAAUACUCAAUAUUACCAUUUAAUUAAAAAUUAAAACGUCAGGUAAAUAUCAGGUCUCUAGUAUAUCCCGUUUUUAGUGUGCCCCUUCGAGUCGACGUCGGACACAUGUUUGCCAUGGUUUACAAACUGAAAAUAGAAUGAUUUGUGAAGUUGAACAUUUUCUCACAAAGAAUCCGUUUGUAGACAUGUACACUCAUUUAAUCUGCAGCUACGAAGUACUUUUUCACUUCUCUGGAACAUUAUUCUAAGCAGAAUUAUCCCGAUUCAUAUAUUCUAAGAAUCUUGUGUGAAUUGUUUACGAGGAAAUUCUGACUGUCACAUUAACAAGGAUGAACACGUACUCUUGACUGUGCUUCGGAUUCGGAUCAUCAUAUCAUUCCCCAGUGAUAAUUGUAUCGAGUGAUGAAAGAGCUGACGGCGACAUUUUAAUGUAUGAUUGGCUUGGACCAUUGGAAUGAAGUCAUUUCAUGGUGCCACCACUUGGGAUGGUAUUAGCUGCAAAUAUAGACUUGUACUCAGCACUUAUUGCCUUUAAGAAGUAUGAGAUCCAUUUUGUGCUAACACCUACCGUGACACAGAAUCUUGGUUUAUGCAGUCUCACAGGAGUAACCUGUCUAAAGCAUUUAGCAAUGGGAUUGGAACCUGCGACGUAAGGUGUGACUCAUCUGAAUACUGAAUUUUGAUACCAAGCAUGACCAUAAUUUGCCAGAAGAUCAUCUGUUUGGAUGUGACAUGGAAUAAACAGCAUAGUGAAAAUAAGUCAUUAGUUUUGGUUUGUGAAGACAAUUUUUAAACACACUGUGUAUCAUUUUUAAAUUUUGAUUUGACAACAUAAAUCCACAAAUAUGAACAUAUCAAUUGCUCUCAGUUUUUCAAGUGAAAUAGUUUUUGUAACAGAAAUACAUGUACCAGUAAUUACAUUGGAAUAAAUGUUAUUUUUAAAUAUAAUAAUAUUUUGUUUGUGUAGCAUGUUGACCUCUUUAUUAAGGUCUUCCCUUUCAAAGUUAAGACUUACUUAUUCUAAUGAUUAAGAAAGAUCCUCUGUCUUCAGCAGGAAUAUAAGAUCUUGUAAUACAUGUAUGUGUAAUUUUUACAGUAUAAUGUAAAAAAAAAUUGUUAUUUUGGCACAUACAACUAAUUAAAGGCAUAAACAUGUGUAUGAUUCCAAGGAAUUCAGUACAUAGGGCAUGUACAUGUAGUUUUCUAAAACAAGAUUGAAGAGAUGUCCAGUCGCAUUUCAAUGUCAACUCCAAAACUGUGCCUGUUGCAUACUUAUUAGCCCAUCUGAGCUAAAGGAACCAGUAAAUUUUUUAAAACCAUAAUUUUAUCCAUUAUCAUCAUUGUCUAAAAUUUCACAAUAUCAUUUUCCAGAACCAAAGUGAAACUUGGCACAGAGCAUCCUUAGUGUAGGGGAUUCAAAUUGUUCUUAUGCAGGGCAAUACCUUCAAAGAGAUUUGUUUCUUUAAUGCUGUAAAUGUAUUAUAUUUAGCUUGUACAAUAUUUGGUGGAAACUGACUUUUGAAUAAGUUAGCGUAGAUAUUCUUAUUUAUGUUUAUGUACAAGACUUUUAGCUUUGUACUUGAUUUAGUGAUUGCUGCAUUCCGCCAAAGCCGCUAAAAAAGAAUACACAGCCAUAUGUAAUAUGUUCACAAUAUACCUUUCAGAGAAUUUUACACUCCUAUUGAGGUACCACCAGUUGCUAGUGGAAAGCUUCAAAUUAGAAACAUACACAACACAUUUCUGUGCGUUUAUUAUAAAAGUAUUGUUCUACUUACUGAUUGCAACUAAUGAAGAUUGUUCAUCAUUAUUGUAAAUAUGUCACUAAAUACAUUUGGAUUUUUUGAAUUAUCAUAUAAUUUGUUUAUUUUAUUUACCUAGUUAUACUGUAUAUUAAAUGAUUUUAAAGCCAUUUUUAAGAUGGUAAUGUAGCAAAACACUUAUGUUUCUGUAGUAUGACACGUUUCACAAACAUAAUUGCAACAAACAUGAUAUAUCCGAUAUCAAAAGUCAUAAUAUUGGAAGUUAAACUGUUGUCGAUACGAUUUCAAGAAUGCUGUUAGAGAGAGUACCCUUUAGACCUCAUGCUCACACCAAAUUAAAGAAUUCAAGUAAGGGUUUUUGAGACAAAUCGAAAAAGAGAAUGUUAGAAUAAUAAGACUAGAGCAAAGCUCGUUGCAAAGCAACGAGUGGGUCUUCCUUCCUAGCGAUAAGCAAAAGAUGAAAUGUUUCUGUCUAGAUUGUC